rnacentral:lncRNA from 1 species
GAUGACUUAGUCUUUUCUGUUAUUCACUUGCUAUUCAAUUUCCCUCAGUCCUUCCUGAUUAUUUACUUAUUAUUCUUAUUUCCCAUUCUUAUUUCCCUGUGGUGAUUUGUGAUUUAACAAAAUUACAACAAUAAUAAGAAUUUCAUCCUGAAGGACUUGCCCUAUUCAAAUCCAACUUAGUUGAAACAUAGUGUUUAUCUACUAACUAUUUAUAUAGAAAACUUUAGAGUUAGGAUUUUAAUGAGGUUCAUAGAAGUUAGACAUAUAUUAUCCAAGAAACCUAGCUGUGAGUUUUGUCCUUGAUUUUAAAAGCUUUUAAGUGAUAGCUAGUUUAGUUAAGUUGGUUUAUAUUUUCUUCCACUGUCUCCCUGCCAUAACGCUUUGAAGAUAAGCACCAGCCUAAAAACAAGAUUUGUGAAUGCCCAAUUCUUGUGUCUGUGACCUCUUCAAAUUGUAAAGACUGGCUGGCCAUGGGAUGCUUUGUGCUGAGUCUCCUCCUUUCCACACGAUGUAGUGUACCUAACUGCCCUUCAAUUGUACCCACUAAAUUUAGUUAAGAUAAAGACCUUAGAGCGUGAUGCAUAGCUGCUGUUCCAUGUAAUCGUUAACCAACUUACUUUUAACACUGUGAUGUGAUCUGUAGUGAAAAACUGUCUAUAUAAUCAACCACUUAUGCCAAUAAAAUGUGAGCAGUCCAGCGCCCUGAGAGAAGGGACAGAGAGGCUGUCUCCGUAUCUGUACCUUUGCCAAUGCGUGUCCCUCUCCCAUCGGGAAAAAGUGUACACUCCCUGGCCGCCAGAGCUGGCCUCCGGCAAGAACCCAUUCGUCUGGGGCGGAGAGCUAGAAGGGUGAGUGGUCCUCUCACGGCUACGCUUCCUAAACUUCUUUAGGCAGAACUUUUGUUUCUUGUCCUGGCAACUCUGAGAUGGUUUGGGGACUAGCAAGUGUCCUGGCAACGGCCCCCCGAUCUGGAAGCUGACAUUGCCAUCGGCACUUUGGGCUCCUUAUGCCCCUGAACCCACAAGCCAGUAAAGGGUUCAUCUAUUGGCUUGAGUGAUGGAUCCCAGCUGCCGAGGGGAGUCGUGUCACUGCUGCACGGAGGACUUUGGAGCCCCGGGGGUGCUCAGGGUGCCUCUUAACCCUUCCAUGGCCAGGAGUUAACAGUUAAUGAGAAGCCUGAGCAACCAAAGGACACAUGGACCCAACAAAGCAGGACCAGGGCUCCGGCCCUCCAGGGAUGGGGGUUGGGCACUGCAGCUGAUGAGGCACCGGAGCAGGUCCCCGCGGAGGGCAGGCGGUGAGGAGUGCAGAGCUGGGGAAGGCAGCCUGGGCCGGUGGUGGCCUCAGGACCCUCACGUCAACAGUGACUGGGGCAGCCGUGCGUAUGUUUCUGCUGGCUCUAUGUUGUGUUUAUUUGCCGUUUCUUUUCUCUACGCUCACAGUUUUAUGUUUUAAACAAGCUGUUGGAGGUUGGCACUUCAGUUUAACCUUGGGCACCUGUUGGGCCUGUGCAGCUUUGGUCCCGGAAGAGCUAGUGCGCUUGUGACAAAGAGCUGUCUCCUGGCGUCCCUUCGUGGCUGGAAGGGCGUCCGGGUGUGUGGAGUGUUGCUGGUAGACGCCGAGCCCCAGUCAGGGGCCGUGCCUGUUGUGGACUCGUGGCCUCGCAGGCCCGACUGUCCAACACUCUCCAGUCAGGCGUCCUGGCCCUGAGCGUGCGGCUGGGCUCUGGAGGCCCCUCGAGCCCCGCAGAGGGAGGGGCUCUUCUCCAGCUCUCUGCCUGGUCCUGUGCUGCUUCCCUCCUUCUCGGCAUCUGCUGGUGCUCGGCUCCGGGGCAGGUCCGGCACGGCUGCGCGUGCGGCCGGGCCUGGCCUUGGAGGCAGCUGGGCCCUGGGCCCCGGCGCCCACACUGCAGACCUGCGCUGGCACGGGCGGCCUCCGCCGCAGCCCUCGAGGUUUCUCUGCCAGUCGCUGUCCUGCCGAGGGUUCAUCGUUCUUCAUGUGAAACUUGCCCUGUUCAAAUUACCGUGUGGUUUGUCUCUCGAUUAGAACCAGUUGAUACACUAGGUAACAAGAAAAAUGAAAGGGUUGAUUAAUUUUUUACUAUGCUUUUGUUAAAGUGAUUUUAAAAUAAAACAUUUAGAAAGAUGGCAUAAGAGAAACUUGGCAGAAGGACAAAACAGAGGGGAAAACAGCAUUGAUGCUGGAAAUCAAAUUGUGUUUUGAUUCCAUAAUAAUCAAAUUCCCCGAAAUACUGUGCCGUGGUCUGCUUUUUACCCACAGAACGCCUCCGACACCGGAUGUACGGCCUUUGCCCACAUCAACCAGCUCUCCUCUACCACCUGGGUACGCUGCAGUUUAACCAAUUCUGACGCCAUCUGCCGCAAGUUAGGGGUUCAGCCCCACAUGCCCCCCACAGCUGUCACUAAAAGUCCCUGGCCACCGACUGCUUAUACAUUCAGGUCCCACGACCCCCACCUCUUGUUUGGUGAUUUGCUGGCGCAGCUCACAGAACUGGAAGCGUAUUCCUUCCUCCAUCUCCAGUUUAUUAUGAAGGGAACAGCCAGGCGGACGCGUGCGGGGCAGAUGUGGGAGGCUGGAGCUUCCCUGCUCUGUGGGGGCGCCACCCUCCUAGCCCCUCCACGUGCUCACCAAGCGCUCGGUUAGGGUCUUAGGGUGAGUCUAUUAUGCAGGCAUCAACUGAUUAUUAAAUCAUUGGCCACUGGUGAUUAACUUGAUCCCCUCCGAGGCUGGGGGUGGGGCUGAAAUUCCACCCUCUCAAAGCGGUUGCUCCCACCAGCCCCAUCCCCGGAGCCCGCAGCGCCCACAGAGUCAGGUCAUCAGCAUACCCACAGUGGCGGCGGAAAGAUCCACCUGGCCUCCUUCACUCCAAGGGUUUUAGGCACUCGAACAAGGGACUGAGACAAAAUGUUUAUGUCUUGUUCUACCACAGUAUCACACAAUGUAAUGAGCCAUAGCCCGUCUAUAAAAGGAAUAUGGAUUAUUGCCCAAAUAAUAAAAAAAACCUUGGGGAGGCGGAGCACUGACGGGCUGGUAGUUGGGUAGCGAUCACUGCAGGUGUUUCCCAGGAGGCUGAGACCAAGGGGUGCAGGUGUUGGCCCUGAAGGAAGGUGUCUACUGUGAAAAACCUCAAACAACCCCUCCAGCUUUGCUGUCUCUACAGCCACGAGCCAUCACUUGAUCAGCAGUCAUGGCAUUGCUGAGAAAUGCCCACCCUUUCAGUCUGCAGAAUUUGGGGGGUUAUCAGGAAAGGGCAGAGGAGGCUCAGACCCGGCAGCAUGUCCCUGUGCAGUCUAUGAUGGGGGCCGGCUGGCCGAGGGAAGGGGGCUCCGAGCGGGGCCUCCAGCAUCAGUCGUGGUAGGAAGGGGUCCUUUUCCCUGGCAAGAGUGUGCCUUCACCCAGGGGACAGAGAGAUGCUGGUGGGUCAACAGGCCGUUCCAAGAUGCACUAAGCUCCACCCAGGGUCUUCCUCCUUCUGCCCAGCUUUCUUCCAGCCAGCAAGCCCUUAGCACCGAUGAAUUCAUAACCAGACCCAAGCCCAGCUGAGUCUGCUCAGGGGAGGAAGCGUCCAGGAGGAAAGGCCUCGGCCAGUAACACUGCUCUUUUGCACAAAGGACUGUGCCACCCGCCACCAAGCUGCUCACGAGGUGGGUCACAGUGACCCAUGUCCAUAGGGAGAAAAGAGCGCCUGUGUUCCAGAGGGACGUGGGAGAAGGGACAAAAGGCUUCUGUUCAGUAAAGGCAAGUGUCAAGGACACGAGAAUGCAUUGCCUUUCCUGCUCUAGAGAGCGCUGCUCCAGCAAGCGGACCAGGGCCGGGUUCAAAUCCUGUCUCUGUGGACAGAACUUUGGCCGACGACUCAACCUUCUUCAGCCUCAGUAAAGGGGGGGUACCCCACCCAAGUGAAAAUGCCCCCAAUUAACAGUCAUGAUCAUCAUAGACGUUACUAGUCUCAUUUAUCAAAAGAGCUUGCAACUGUCCGGUGAACUGACUCUGCGCGGGCAGAGCCAGCGAAGCAGAGGACAUGAGAAGAGGAGGCAGGGGUUUCUUUCUGCAUCAGAAGCUGAGGGUCCGAAAGCACAGGGGGAGCUCACCAGGCGCUUCAGAAAACAUCGGUCCAAGAGGCCCCAGUCCGGCCCCAAGCUGGCCAAGCAUCUGAAUUUCAUGAAUACGCAUUUUAUUAUUUUUAUGCCACCUCCAACUCCAUGGGUCUGUUUUGUUUCCAAGCGGCCCUUCCAGAGCCCCUCCCAGAAGGGCAAGCCUAGCGCGCAGAGCUGGCAGCUGCCGCGAUGCUGGGUUUGCUUUGGAUCCAUGGCGACGUCAGGGUCUAGCUCAGGACAAGAGAGCUUUUGUUUUUGUUUUUGUUUUUGAGCUUUUUUCUAAAUUUUGAAAAGGAGCUGGAGGUCAGAGCACAGCAGCAUGCCCCACGUGAAGCCGCUCCCUCAGCCUCGCCUGGUAUGUGUGCUUCGUUGCCCUGGAACCGUGUGGGGGUGUGAGACAAAGUGACUGAGGCUGGGGAGGCACCCAGAGGGGACAAGCCUCCCUGGUACAGCCUGGCACAGUUAUCUGAUUUUACUUUUCAUAAUUUUCAAGGACUCAAAAAUUUGCCAUAAAAAUGGAGUUCCCGUUGUGGCACAGCAGAAACGAAUCUGACUAGGAACCAUGAGGAUACAGGUUCAAUCCCUGGCCUUGCUCAGUGGGUUAAGGAUCUGGCAUUGCCGUGAGCUGUGGUGUAGUUUGCAGAAGCGGCUCGGAUCCUGCGUUGCUGUGGCUGUGGGGUAGGCCAGUGGCUACAGCUCCGACAGGACCAUAGCCUGGGAACCUCUAUAUGCCGCAGGUGUGGCCCUCAAAAGACAAAAG